UAGGGANUCUUCGGCAAUGGGGGCAACCCUGACCGAGCAACGCCGCGUGAGUGAAGAAGGUUUUCGGAUCGUAAAGCUCUGUUGUAAGUCAAGAACGAGUGUGAGAGUGGAAAGUUCACACUGUGACGGUAGCUUACCAGAAAGGGACGGCUAACUACGUGCCAGCAGCCGCGGUAAUACGUAGGUCCCGAGCGUUGUCCGGAUUUAUUGGGCGUAAAGCGAGCGCAGGCGGUUUGAUAAGUCUGAAGUUAAAGGCUGUGGCUCAACCAUAGUUCGCUUUGGAAACUGUCAAACUUGAGUGCAGAAGGGGAGAGUGGAAUUCCAUGUGUAGCGGUGAAAUGCGUAGAUAUAUGGAGGAACACCGGUGGCGAAAGCGGCUCUCUGGUCUGUAACUGACGCUGAGGCUCGAAAGCGUGGGGAGCGAACAGGAUUAGAUACCCUGGUAGUCCACGCCGUANCGAUGAGUGCUAGGUGUUGGAUCCUUUCCGGGAUUCAGUGCCGCAGCUAACGCAUUAAGCACUCCGCCUGGGGAGUACGACCGCAAGGUU
rnacentral:rRNA from 1 species